CAGGAGGGAGGGCCCGCCAAAUUAAGGGCGUCCCCCCCCUAAUGGGGACAAGAACCGUUACAUCAGGCCCCCAAACGCCUCGACGGUCUUCAGAAAACACCUGACACCGUUUGAGCGGAGAGGAAUCAAACAGUACAAGGAGGUGUGGUCCCUUGGCAUAGCUGAAGAGAAGGUUCAGAAGACAUACCCCCUCCGCCAUGGUUAUGAUGACAGUGAGGGACACUACAAGAUGGAAAAUACUAACAGGUGUCCUCCUGAGGGAUCCUACCACAAACCCUUCAGAGUAGAAGAAUGGGCUUGGUUGGGUUCAGGCAGAUGUAUUCAUAUUUAUUAACAUUUGGUUCUCUAAGUUAUGAUUGGGGGUGUUAAAUGCAGGUUAUCAAAGACCACAUCGCCUACCGCUAUGAGGUCCUGGAGCUGAUGGGUGAGGGCACCUUCGGUCGAGUCCUCAAGUGCAGAGACCACAAAACCCAGCAGCUGGUCGCCAUGAAGGUCAUUGCAAACGACCAGAGGUCUGCAGAUGAGGCGAUGGCAGAGGUGGAAAUUCUGGAGCUGCUCCAGAAGAAAGAUGUGCUUGACGUGGCCAACGUCGUCCA